CAGCGUGACGUUUUAUUCCUCAAAUUUAUUCCUCAAAAUUUAAUUUUCAAACCACUUUUUAUUCGGUCUUUCUAGAUCGAUACAAUUGAGUUUCACAGUACAAUUUAUUUGGCCAGAUAAUGAUGUAUCGCUGAUAUAAUAUUAGUGUGUCAGUAUUGCAGUUGAUUAUGUGGAAUGACUAAAGUGCGACAUUAUUGUCAUAUCAGUAAUACAUUAUUAUUUAGCUAAUAAAAUUGUACUAUAGAACUUGAUUACAACAAUUUAAAAAGUUCACGGAUCGUCCCUAGAGCAAGUGGCAAAGGACUUGUUGGUUGGUACCCGAGACCCAAGUUCGAAUCCCAGUUGAUUCACAUUUCCAGUUAUAUUUAUUUCUAAAUGAAAUAAAUGAAGUGGGUAGCAUGCUAUCUUUCUCUCAAAAAAAAUAAACAAUUUAAAAAGCUCAAACUAAAAAUUACAAUAUAAAAAAGAAUUUGAGGAUCAAAAUAUCAUCCAUUUCAAAGUUUGGGGAUCAAAAUAUAUUUUUAGUAUCGUGUGUAAAGUAAAGGAAAAAAAAAAAAAAGUGAAUUUCAAGAAGUGGUAUAAUUGAUUAGGGGUCUCGGACAUAGUUUACCUUUUCAAUACUCUGUUUAAAAACGUUACAUUAAAAUCUUAAGCAAAAUUUUAAGAAUGUUAUGUGGCUUAGUUUAAGGACCCUCAAAGCUAGGGAUGUCAAUGGGUAUGGAUAGCUAAAAUUUUAUCCGAAUCCGAAUCCGAACCUGAAUGAAACGGAUAUAUCCGAUGGAUAUGGAUAUGGAUUUGGAUAUGGAUAUUAAAAAUAGAAACCCGACGGAUAUGGAUUCGGAUAUGGAUUUUGAUUGUACCCGAUCCAAACCUGAACCCGACCUGAACCCGAAUUUAUUUGUAUUAUAUAUAAUAUAUAUAUAUAUAAAUUUGAUGUUAUAUUUGAAUUUGUAUUUUAAAAAUUUAGAUUUAAUAUAAUAUAUUUUGAAAUAUUGAAAAAAAAAAUAAUUGUUUCGGGUUCAAAUUUUCGGUUUUGGGUUCAGGUUCAGGUUUCGGAUUUUUGGUCGGGUUCGGGUUCAGGUUCGGGUCUCGGGUUUGGAGUUGGGUUCGGGUUCGGAUUUUUAAAAAUCCGUCCCGAAUCCGACCCGUUGACAUCUCUACUCAAAGCAAAAUCAACUAAAUUACUCUCCCAAAAUAAUGCUACAAAAAAAUUAAUUACCUAUUCAA
rnacentral:lncRNA from 1 species